rnacentral:rRNA from 1 species
UACAGAGGGUGCAAGCGUUAAUCGGAAUUACUGGGCGUAAAGCGUGCGUAGACGGUUACAUAAGUCGGGUGUGAAAGCCCCGGGCUCAACCUGGGAAUUGCAAUGGAGACUGCAAGGCUGGAGUCUGGCAGAGGGGGGUAGAAUUCCACGUGUAGCAGUGAAAUGCGUAGAGAUGUGGAGGAACACCGAUGGCGAAGGCAGCCCCCUGGGUCAAGACUGACGCUCAUGCACGAAAGCGUGGGGAGCAAACAGG